rnacentral:lncRNA from 1 species
CCGCCACGAAAUUCCCUUUAUUUAUGAACUCGCUUUCUUCAAUUGGGCUACGUCCUCUUCGGAAUUGUCUGAAAUUUCACCGUUAUUGGUGGACAUCUACAACAAAAUGAUCAACCUUUCUGGAAAAGUGCGUCAAUUUAAUGUCUCCUGGCACUUGAUUGAUUUAAUGAAGUAAAAAAGUAUAGAAAUCCCAAUUAAUACUUUCUCGAUUUUGAUUCAGUGUUAUGCUCGUGCUGGGCUGGAUGAGGAGGCCAUGCAUGCUUUUAAUAGAAGCCGGAUGUGACCAUGUAUAAUUUUUCGAUUGAUAGUCAAUUGCAGGGGCAAGAAUCGAGAUGAGGCAAUAUAUUGCUGCGAAUGUUUGCUGAGUCUUAAUCAACUAAUAUGGUUAUUAAAAUUAAAAAAGAAAUAGACGAGAGUGAAGUUGAGCCUAAUGUGAAUACUAUCCGAAUUCUGAUUUCAGUGUACUGCAAAAUGGGCCUCUAGAACAAUGCAUACACUUAUCUAAAAGACAUGGUUGAGGAGAAGAGAUUGAGACCGAGUGUGCCAACUCGUAAAAUGGUUUUGGAGCAGUUAAGGAAAGCAGAACAGAUAAAGAAGCACGAGGAAUUGGUAGAAAAAAUAGUGGGCUUGGGGUUUAUAACUUGUCCCUUCUAGGAACACUGUGUUAUAAAGAAGCAAGUCAGCUGAAGUGGGGAAACAAAGGUAUGAGAAACACCAGGAAGUAGACAAGCAACCACCGAUUUUUGAAAUCAAGUGGCGUCGCUUUGAAUAAAGGAAACGGUGCCAGUUUGAGUCAAUAGUGAUGAAUGUAAUAGAAAUGCAUUUUAUACAUUGCAUUUUCAUAAAUGCGUUCAUUCCUUCUAUUUUGCUUAUAAUUGAUGGGGGAGAGGAGAAAUAAGAGCGCGAAAAAGAUCAGGGACAAUGUAAACUUUCUCUCUUUCCCUUUCAAGAUUCUAUUCUUCUCUCUUUACUUUCUAUGUUUUGUCGUUGUCGUUCUUUCUGUAAAGUUCAGUUCAACUAAUAGAUUU